rnacentral:rRNA from 1 species
ACAUCCAGCGAACUUGGCAGAGAUGCCUUGGUGCCUUCGGGAACGCUGAGACAGGUGCUGCAUGGCUGUCGUCAGCUCGUGUUGUGAAAUGUUGGGUUAAGUCCCGCAACGAGCGCAACCCUUAUCCUUUGUUGCCAGCGAUUCGGUCGGGAACUCAAAGGAGACUGCCGGUGAUAAACCGGAGGAAGGUGGGGAUGACGUCAAGUCAUCAUGGCCCUUACGAGUAGGGCUACACACGUGCUACAAUGGCGCAUACAAAGAGAAGCGACCUCGCGAGAGCAAGCGGACCUCAUAAAGUGCGUCGUAGUCCGGAUCGGAGUCUGCAACUCGACUCCGUGAAGUCGGAAUCGCUAGUAAUCGUGGAUCAGAAUGCCACGGUGAAUACGUUCCCGGGCCUUGUACACACCGCCCGUCACACCAUGGGAGUGGGUUGCAAAAGAAGUAGGUAGCUUAACCUCCGGGAGGGCGCUUACCACUUUGUGAUUCAUGACUGGGGUGAAGUCGUAACAAGGUAAGCGUAGCGAG